rnacentral:lncRNA from 1 species
UAUGAAAAUUCUGCUUUCUCAUGAACCUAAGGAAAAGCAUGUACUGACUUCACCACACCCCUAGAACACAACUGCAUAUUUUGCGGGUAUAAACAAAAUAAAGCAGAUGCUUCAGGCACCACCAAGGAAGCUAAGAUGUUAAUGAAGACACAGCACAGUACCUGCUACAGCGGGACAGGGCCCUUUCUUAAGUUACCUAGUACGAACAGCCAGUUGAACUGGGGUGGGAAAAAUCACAACUUAAAACCAUUUACAUAAGC